rnacentral:tRNA from 1 species
GGAAGAGCGAUGUCCCCGGUGGGGCGCCUGGUCUUCAAAACCAGUGAGGCGCCUGGUCCUUGAGACCGUUGCGGCGCCUGGUGGGUUCGACUCCUACCUCUUCCGCCA